rfam:Cladophialophora carrionii strain KSF Contig1651, whole genome shotgun sequence.
GACACUUUGGCGGAGUGGUUAACGCGGUGCCCUGCUAAACAAGUCGAGGCAUUUCCUUCGGGGUAGGUUUCAUCACCGUCAUUCUCUUCUGUAGCGAAAUCUAACUCUUCUUCCAGAGCACAGGUUCGAAUCCUGUAGGUGUCG